rnacentral:rRNA from 1 species
GGCCUUGACAUGCAGAGAACUUUACCAGAGAUGGAUUGGUGCCUUCGGGAACUCUGACACAGGUGCUGCAUGGCUGUCGUCAGCUCGUGUCGUGAGAUGUUGGGUUAAGUCCCGUAACGAGCGCAACCCUUGUCCUUAGUUACCAGCACGUUAUGGUGGGCACUCAAGGAGACUGCCGGUGACAAACCGGAGGAAGGUGGGGGAUGACGUCAAGUCAUCAUGGCCCCUACGGCCUGGGCUACACACGUGCUACAAUGGCCGGUACAAAGGGUUGCCAAGCCGCGAGGUGGAGCUAAUCCCAUAAAACCGAUCGUAGUCCGGAUCGCAGUCUGCAACUCGACUGCGUGAAGUCGGAAUCGCUAGUAAUCGUGAAUCAGAAUGUCACGGUGAAUACGUUCCCGGGCCUU